AUUAUUGUUAGUGUUGGUAGUAAAUUGUCGGAUAAAAAUAACUGUACACCUAUUAUUGUGAAUAAACAGUAGAAGUGGAGUUUUCUAUAAAGAUUUCUAGAAGUUUUGUGGUUUUCUUCUUAUAUUGACAUCAUUAUCAUUAUGAUAUCAGUUAUAAGAUGUACUGACCCAGAGCUAUGGACUAUCUACUGAGUUACCGGGGCUCCUGCUCGAAGUGUAGGAGUAAGAACAGGGUGGUUUUUAGUCAGUAAGAUCCUGCACUCUUUCUCGCCUCACCCAAGGAGGGAAAAGUCAUUAAAUAAUUUGCUAAACAUAGGCCUCCCCGGUGACUGCCAGACCAGCCGGUUUCUAGCCAUAUUUCUUAAAAGUAAAGAUCUCUUAAUUUGUAGUUCGUCAAUGUCACCCCGACACGACAAUUAUUUCCAGAUCGGCUGGAAGUACCUGCAUUCAAUCGGCAUGCAGAUCUUUAAUAUCUAAGUUAUUCGUGUAACAAUUCUUUCUUUUUUAGACGCAUCAGUCUUGCAAAGUAUGCGACGGCCUGACAGUCGACGACAGGCUACGAAGGAGUAUGCCAAAUCGUUUACUGAUCGUCAGCUCUGCUUCUCUCGAUCUGAAUGCAAUGGUUUUGGACACCACUGUGUUUGUGUUCUUGGUGAAAAAGAGCAUAUUGUAGGAAUUUGUGACUGUAACCUUCAACCUGGUCACGAUAAAUUAAUGUUACCGUAAAUAAAGAACAAAUAAAUAGCGUAAACAUUA